AGAGACCACCAGCGCGAUCUGCAGGGCCCGCAGCAGGAAGGGCACCUCCCUGCUGCCUGCCUCGGCCUCUCCGGAGGGGUCGGAGGCUCCGAUAAGCAACUUCUCCACACUUCUUCCCACUGAGCAUAUAGUCAACACCUCCAAAAGUGGCAGAAUAUGCAGAUGCCAGCCGGAGGAGGCCACGGGCCUGGUUUCUUUUCUACAAGAAAGAGGAGGAUGAGCUGAAGGUGCCUGGAAAUAACGAAGCAGUUGUGGAGAUCUGCAUUGUCUUCGUGUGUUUCCUCUCCUCUCUGUUUCUACUGUAAAAGAUCAUUGCCCCCUGUACAUGUUGCCCAUAGUUCAGGAUUUACUUCUGUCUCCAUGAAGGCAAGACCUGAGUGCACGUAUGUUAUGAUAUUCAAGAAAGUCAUGAUUACCUGGAGCUCCUCUGUGGAUAUUACAGUCUGGUCAACAGGAGCAGGUGGAGAGUGCCCCGGGGCCCUCCAGUCAUGCUGGACCAGCUGAGGGAGAGAGAAAAUUGGCAGUUCGCAGCAACAUUGCCAAGGAGAAAGAGCAGGCCUAAUGGACUGAAAAUGGAUGAGCAUGUUCAAUUAAAACAAAAAACAAACAAACAGGCACCCCCGAAGCCUGAAGGAGGACCAUGAAAAUGCAAAAAUACCACGACGCACAUGCAUAAAGCAUGAUUUCAUCAAGUCCCUGAAUUUGAGCACCAGUUUACAGUGUGACCUUGGGAGCCACCUUCCAGGCCUGAGGAGGGGUUGUGCCCAAGGAUGUGACAGGCUGGCGGCUGAGGUGAUCUUGUUGUGGGGUAGGUGUAUGGAAAAGAGAGGGCAGUAGCAGGUUGGAGGAGUCUCUGAGGCUUAAUUUUGAGUGGAGCUUUAGAUCUUGGUGCCCCUGAGUUCUGCAGUCACUCAACAAACACACACGGCUCCCAUGAGAAAGCAGCCUUUGCAAGUGGAACUCCACGAGGGAAGGACACGCUGUCCAUGGCACAGUCACACG